AUAUAUAUAUAUAAUAUACACACACACACACACACUCAGUCAGUCAGUCAGCUCUAUAUCCGCGGUGUUUGACCGUAAUCCCGUCAUUUAUUUCCGGUGAACACUCGGACUUUAUCCCAUUUCAACUCCACAAAACUCAAGGCGACUUCAGAAGAAUGAACCAAUCACAGCCGACUAGCGUCAGGACGAACCAAUCACAGCCGGCUAGCGGCAGGAUGAACCAAUCACAGUCGGGAGGUGUUUGUAAUUUGAGUGUUUACACACGUUAAAUCGAAACUCGUCGUUAGAGUUUGUUCUGUGGUCAGACCACAUUUCUGAACUCUGAACCGAAGCUGACUUCUGUCUUAUUUAUCGUAUAGACGCAUCGCUCCUGGAUGCACAACAUCCUACGAUGAGUCUCUGGCAAUCCAUCGCUACAUCUACAUCAGAUAUGAAAAUCACUCGUGGAAUAGUUUUUCAUAUGAGUUUAACACCCAUAAAGGCGACACGUCUUUUAUCCUAAAAGAAGCCCUCGACCGUUCCCAGAUUCAGUUGCACUGCACCUCUGAGGGCGGCACUCGUUACUGUCCCAACUACAGUAAGUUCCUGCAAACAUGUCAUUUCUGGACUACUCUGUACAGCGUAAUAUUUGUUGUUCUAGGGACAAAAAAAAGUGUAGGUUCUCUUGCAGCUGGUCUGCAACCACAUGUAAGAAAUCUUGGGGUAACAUUUGAUUUGUCACUAAACUUCACCAGCCUGUUUCAAAUCGGUUUUUAAAACCUCUUAACAGCAUUCACCAGCAAAGAUCACCAGCGGCCUCGGAUUAUUGCUGUUUCACAUUCACAGCAUAUUAAAACACACUAUUAUUUGAUCCGGAAAUACUGUGUGUCUUUAAAAAGAUGAAAAGUGUCGAAAGUUUUCAGAUUUUAUCCUGUUUAAUGUGUUUGUACUUUUUAUAUGCUUAAAGGAUUAGUUCACCCAAAAAUGAAAAUUCUGACAUUAAUUACUCACCCUCACGUCAUUCUAAACUCGUAAGACCUCCGUUCAUCUUCGAAACACAAAUUAAGAUAUUUUUGAUACAUUCUAACAGCUCUCUGACCCUCCCAUAGACAGCAAUGUAAUUACCACAAUCAAGGUCCAUCUGUGACACACAGAUAUGUUUGCUACGUUGUUUACGCAUUGAUUGGAAAGAAAACAAUGUAUCCGUGUGACACAGCUUACACAGAAUAUAAUACGCUGUUUGCGUUCAUUGGAUACUCUCCAAAAUGACACCAGGGUGACGUGGAGGAGACGAAUUGUUGAAUAAAGUUAUUUUUGUUUUCUUCGCGUACA
ensembl:lncRNA